AUGGCGACCGGCGCACGGGUGAGUAACACGUAUCCAACCUACCGAUGACUCGGGGAUAGCCUUUCGAAAGAAAGAUUAAUACCCGAUGGCAUAGUUCUUCCGCAUGGUAGAACUAUUAAAGAAUUUCGGUCAUCGAUGGGGAUGCGUUCCAUUAGCUUGUUGGCGGGGUAACGGCCCACCAAGGCAUCGAUGGAUAGGGGUUCUGAGAGGAAGGUCCCCCACAUUGGAACUGAGACACGGUCCAAACUCCUACGGGAGGCAGCAG
rnacentral:rRNA from 1 species